GCAAACUUGGUCAUUUAGAGGAAGUAAAAGUCGUAACAAGGUUUCCGUAGGUGAACCUGCGGAAGGAUCAUUACAAAUCAUGGCGAACCUCGUGUUUCGCGAGGUUUUGCGUCCAUUAAAGUAUUUAAAACAUCCACUCUUUUAAAAAAUUUAUCUAAUGAUAAAAUAAAAAAGAUCACUUUCAACAACGGAUCUCUUGGCUCUCCAGGCAAACUUGGUCAUUUAGAGGAAGUAAAAGUCGUAACAAGGUUUCCGUAGGUGAACCUGCGGAAGGAUCAUUACAAAUCAUGGCGAACCUCGUGUUUCGCGAGGUUUUGCGUCCAUUAAAGUAUUUAAAACAUCCACUCUUUUAAAAAAUUUAUCUAAUGAUAAAAUAAAAAAGAUCACUUUCAACAACGGAUCUCUUGGCUCUCGCAUCGAUGAAGAACGCAGC
rnacentral:misc_RNA from 1 species